rnacentral:tRNA from 1 species
GACAACAUGUCCGAGUGGUUAAGGAGCCAGACUUGAAUUGAAUCCCAUUUUCUCUCUCUAUCUGGUGGCUUCGGCCGCGUAGGUUCGAACCCUGCUGUUGUCG